CAAAUGAGUUCGUAAUGUAAUUUCCGGUUUCAAAAACCCAAAACUCGUUAAUCUGAGGAUUCACAGUCUCCCUGUUCAACCAUUUCAAGUUACUCAGUGGAAGAAGUUAGAGUGUGCUUGGUAGUGUCGUGAUUUCGUUUGAGGGUUAGCGCAAUUAGGAGAUCAGUGAAUGUGUGGAGACUUUGCGGGCAAGUGCGAGGAAACAGAGAGCCGUGCGACGGCUUUUAAUUCCAGAUUUUGCGCCUGGCGAAGCUACCACCGCACCGCCAGCAAAGAUCAUCCCACCUCCUGCCACCACACUCUGGAUUCAAGUUUCCAAUCGAGGAAUUGCGUCAGUUGCAGCAAAAACUCGGACAAAGAAGCGCCGCCACGUGCGUAAUGCGGCAUUACUAAACGCCGUCA